CGCAAUAUGCAGCACUAUGUGGGCCAUUACUCAUAAUGAUUCGCAAUGAUCCAAGAGUGCGGAUGGAGGGUUCAAGUGCGGGCUCAUAAAGAGAAUCCACAAAGACAUUGUUUCCUAGAGAUAGCAAUGCAAUGACCAUGAAGGUUGGAAUCCGCUUUGGAGUGUGUAACAACCCACCUGCCAAUU
rnacentral:rRNA from 1 species